GAUGAACGCUGGCGGCGUGCCUAAUACAUGCAAGUCGAGCGAACAGAUCCGGAGCUUGCUGGUCUGACGUUAGCCGAGCACGGGUGAGUAACACGUGUAUCACCUACCUGUCAGACUGAGAUAUCUUCGAGACACCGGAGCUAAUCCCGGAUAAUAUAUUGAACCACGUGGUUCAAUGGUGAAAGUCGGUUUUGCUGUAACUUAUAGAUGGAUCCCCGCCGCAUUAGCUAGUUGGUAAGGUUACGGCUUACCACGGCAACGCGGCGUAGCCGAACUGAUAGGGGGAUAGCCCACAUUGGAACGGGGCCACGGUCCUGAGUCCUACGGGACGCAGCAGUAGGGAAUCUUCCGCAAUAGGCGAAAAUAUUGCAGAGCAGCGCCGAGUGUGUGAUAACAGUCUUCGGAUCGUAAAACUCUCUUAUUAGGGGUGAACAAAUGUGUAAGGAACUAUGCACGUCUUGACGGUACCGAAUCAGAAAGCCACGGCUAACUACGUG
rnacentral:rRNA from 1 species